AUACUAAUUUAAAAAAGAAGACAGAGAAAGAGCGCAAAUUUUGUUGGGGGGCAGCUUUAUAAGCGCUGAGGCUCCUUAGCUCCAAAACAAAUCAAACGCUGUGAAAAAGUAUUCCAGUGAAAACAAAGGAAGGGAAACAAACAUGGUGGGAUCUUCAUCUCAAACAGAAUCAUGGGUUUCCAUCAGGAACUCAAUCUACCAAGCCCAAGAAGAGGAAACGACGACAGCAGCCGCGGAGAGCUUCGUCGAUCAGGAACGUCGAGAAUGGACCAAGAUCGAUCAAGACGACGACGACGACGACAGCAGCAACAACGAAGAUAAGAUCGGCAAGAAGAAGAAGAAGAAUCAGGUGUUGCUGGAGGGGUACGUGGAGGCGUUGGAUAAGGAGGAUGAUUUGACGAGGACAAAGAGCUUGACAGACGAAGAUCUCGACGAACUGAAAGGGUGUUUGGAUCUGGGGUUCGGAUUCAGCUACGAAGAAAUUCCUGAGCUUUGCAACACCUUGCCUGCGCUCGAGCUAUGUUACUCUAUGUCUCAGAAGUACUUGGACGAGCACCAGAAGUCCCCUGAUCCAUCUCCAGACACCACCGCCGAAACCGUCUCCAGCCCCAUCGCCAAUUGGAAGAUCUCCAGUCCUGGUGACCAUCCAGAAGAUGUUAAAGCAAGGCUCAAAUUCUGGGCACAGGCUGUGGCUUGCACUGUUAAAUUAUGCAGCUGAAAGAUUCAUUGCCGAAAAUGGAUCAAUAUUUCUCAAUCAUAAGCAUCAACAGCCUGAAUCCUUCAUGUAGAGCUAGUGCUCUGCUGUUCCAUGUCUGGUGGGAAUGAAAUUUCCUGCAAUUGUUGGGAACGGACCUGCCAAAACUUUUUAAUAUGGACCAGCUGCAAGGAGUAGGAGAAGAAGAAAGGGAUGAGAAAGACGUUUCAGGUUUGAGAUUAACUGAAUGCUCGUAUGAGUCUGACCUAAUUCUGCGGAGACUAAGAUAUCUUAUUAUGUCCAACCUUCUGUUGGUUUGUAUGCAGUGGUGAGAGCCUCCAGUAGAGCUUCACCAACUAGUUGCAGACCUCUGCAUUUGCUGAGAUGAUUACUCACUUUACUGGUAUGGGCGGAAGCAGUUGAGAAUGAGGGAAAAAACAAGUGGAGGAGAAGGAAGGGCAAAGCAUGCAUCUCUUCCAAAAUUUCAAUCAAUCACAGAAAUCUCUCCCCAUGUUCAUCGCUUGUAUUCUUCCCAUGCCUUGAAUUGUGGGCAUGGCUUUUGAUACUUGUUUUCAAAUAUGAUUGGUUGAAGGGAAUAGAGAAAGGGUUUCUUUCUCAUGGAAAGUGUUGCCUGAUCUGGCUAACCAUGACACAUGGAUUAUGGCUUUAGACCAUUUGUGUAUCAGUUUCAUUUUGACAAAAGUCCUGGUUAUCAGUUAUCCUCAA